CUGCUCCUGUAGGGAGGGAGUACUGUGGGCAUCAGGAAAGGCAGUGCCAACUUUAAGGGAGCCCUCAAGUGAUCCUUCAAGUGAUAAAAGGCCUCCCAGUUAAGUCCUAUUGGUGGGUCACUGAGACAGUGAGGAGGGACAUGGAUGAGUAAAAAGUGUUAUAAAGAUGUAAUAAGGGCUUAUGCAUGUCAUAAUAUGAUUAAACAAAUAGGAAGUAUACAGGAGUUAUGAGGAGUUGGAUCCCCACAAAUCUAAGAAAGACCAAGUCAUAUUAGGUCCAGCUCAUCCAGGAAAGUCUCGAAGUACAGGGAUUCUGAUCCUGAAAUCACCUCCGUUUACCUUGGUUUAUCUUUUUGAGACACUUAGUUGCUUCUGAGAGGACUUGCUAUGAAGAUUCCUUUCCUUUUUUUAGCUCUUCUUUUCUUUGGCCUGUUAUCUGCCUCAGGAACUGAAGAUGAUUAUAUGGUCACUAGCUUCCUGGACUGUAAAAAUCAAACACUGUGUAGUUCUCCAAAUGAAAAUGGAAACUGUUCUGAUGUUAACAAGGAGGUUGGAAUGUGUGUCUUGCGUUUUAGAAAAAAUGCAAAGCAACCAACCAUAAAGAAAUAGAACAUUAGGAAGACAGGACAAUCAACACCCUUGUCUUAUCAGAAAAUAAAGUCUGUUUUCUCUCA